rnacentral:rRNA from 1 species
GGUGUAUGAUAUCUCCCUUUCCGAUCCGCUGCGUUUUACGGCGAACGGA